UGGAGACCCAUUGAAGACUUGAAGUUCAAUCAAAAUCGGAAAACCCUAGAGUUCAAACUUCGAAAUUCUUCGAAUUUUCAACUCCUAACAUUAUGUUCUUCUUAAUCUUCAACUCCUAACAAUGGCUGACUCUCAAUGUGAGCGACCCAUUGAAGUUGGAAACGAUUCAGAUUCUAAUGUCAGUCAUGGCAAGUCAGUGAAGAAGAGCAAUGCAAUUACUGAUUCUACCUCGAACAAAGAUUUUAAUUUUCAAUGAAUUGAACUAUUUUAUUUUAAUUUUUGCAAGAAAUAGUUAAAUCUUGAAUUUAUGUUUUAUAAUCUGAAGUUGGUGGCCAAUUUAUGGUUUUGAAUGUUGAAAGUUGAAACUUCAACUUU